ensembl:miRNA
AAGAAACUUUUGGCUUAGAUGUAAUGCAAUGUGGACAUCUGGUCACUCUUUUCUUCCCU